rnacentral:lncRNA from 1 species
CCCAAAAAUCUUGGCUUUUGUGAAUGGAAGAACAGAAGAGGAAAUGGAGGCGACUCUCAAAGGAAUUAUCUCUAAUCAACAAUCUUGAUGAUGGCUGUCUUAUGCACAUCUUUAGUUUUCUCUCCCCUAUUCCAGGUAUUAUUACUAAUUGCUGCCCCCUAUUCUUUCAUAUCAAUUUCUCAAUAAUUUAGUAUACUUUUGUAAUUCAGCUUCUUUGGCUCAAAUUAGCAAAACUCAACUCUUAAAAUCAACUAAAAGUUACAAAGAUUGAAUCUUUUUGUGUCUCUCUCAGUCCAAUUCUUGUUUUAUUAAAUUUCUCAAUGAAUUGUUAUGUUUUGUAACAGUUUUCAGUUUUCAGCUUAAUUCACAGUUUCUUUGGUUCAAAUUUGCAAAACCAACUCUUAAUUUUCAUCAACUGAAGGUCAUAACGAUUGAAUAUUUUUGUGUCUCUCUUAGUCCAAUUCUUAUUUAAUUAAAUUUCUUGUAUUAUUAUGAACAUAAUUAGCUUCUUAAUAGAUAAUGCCCCAUAUUGAUUUUAUCAUAGUUAAUGAAAUUGCAAGUUCCAGCUUUAGUUUUCAUCAAUUAAAGGUUACAAAGAUUGGAUUUUUUUGUUUUUUUUUCCCGGUCCUAUUCUAGGCUUUCAAUAGUAGAGUUUCUUGAAUUUUUGUGAACAUAUUUAGCAAGUGCUCCUGUGGAUUUCAUACUUCUGCAUUUUUGAGCUUAGUUGAUUGUUUCUUCAUUUAAAGUUUGCAUUUUGAGUGUCUUUUACAAUCCAGGUCUUGUUCUUCUUUUUUGUUAUGGCUUGAACUUCUGAUUAAUAUAUUCAAAUGGAUAACUGCCGAGAUUCUUUUUCAUCCAUUAGUUUUUUGGUUUUAUAUUACAUGACCAUUUCAAGUUACGUGAUUGUUGAUUAACAGGUUUCAGAUGAGUGGCAUUCAUUUUUUGUGCAUGUGUACCUUGGUCCUUAACUUCUGAAAAAUAUAUCUUUUCAAGGUCACUUGAUCGUUAUCUGUAACAACAAUACAACAUAAAUGUUCAGGGACCUAGCUUUGACUGUAGUUGGAUAACAUCAUAGUCAGUCCUUACUCACCCAAUAAUGGUUGGUUUGCUGUUGGGAGCUGGGAAUAAUUUCUUAUUCUUAACCAAUUAAUCAAUACAAUAAAAAUGUGAUUUGUGUUCGAACCUGUUCUACAGCACAGCUCUAGAGAAAUGUGAGUUUAUUCUUUCCAGCCAGAGUAAAAAAGAGCUGAAUAUAUUUUAGGCUUUGAAACAUUGAAACUCAAGAAAGCAAUCGAGUUUUCCCUAUGUUAAUUAUUAAACAUGUCUGUCGCUUGUCUUGGCUCUUGUUCUAUUGGUACUCUAAGAAAGGUAACUAUAGGUUAAUGAAUUUUCAUUCACCAGCCGUCGCAGUGGCAUGAUUGUAUCAUCUUUCUUUCCUUUUUUUAUACGUUUUUGUUCUUCUCUCUUGAUAUGGAUUCGUCGGCGAUUUUUUUUUUUUUUGGGAGAUCUCCCUUGUUCCAGAGUACUCAAAUAGUUGCCUAUGUUAUGGCUGUAAAAGAGAGAGCGGAACAUAAGCUUCUCAUCGCAUCAGGAGCUUGGUCAUAGAAGAACUCUACUUGACCAAUCAUCAAUGGAUGUGAAUACCCUCGCGUAUCCGAUCAAAAAAUACUGAGGAACUUUCCAAACGAUAGACAUAGGAAUUGUCUUGAGAUCAUAAUACUUGUUCCUGCUCACAUUCUCGAGCUGAAUCAUUUCCAGAACUCCGAUAGCUACCAUAGAGAAUUUUGAAAUGACCGGACUAUACAAUAUCCAUUUCACAAUACCAUUGGCAUCAUUGACGGUAUUCGAGAAACUCGGUGUAAUAUUCUGGGUGCCAAUGUAUGUCACUGUCAUCAUCCCCUUUGCGCAAAAGUUCACAUGCCACGCACGGGGAUUCACUCAGCUAUAGAGAAUGGGUAUACGCCUGGUCAUUUUUAUACUCUUUAUGGUAGCUUCC